rnacentral:lncRNA from 1 species
CGUAAAUAUUCCAAAUUAUAUAAACACAACUAAGUUAAUAAUAAUUAUAAUAAACUAUAAACUAAGUAGUAUAAAUUUGUUUUAACCUCUUAAUAACCGAUCCCACAAGAUUGACGAGGGGUGGCAAAAAUGCUGAGUUACAGUUCGGCCGGCGUUCACAUAUUUGGUCUCCGGGGAAUUGGGUAAGAGUAUUACAAGGUGGAAAUCGAACCCUAAAGUUGAAAUUUUAGUAACCAGAUGUGAAAUUAGUUGUUGAUAAAGCUCAAAUCAAUAUAUUAUGGAACACCAAUUUCCGAAUCGCAACAGGUCUGAUAUGUUGUCAUGGAAAGGAACUGCAGAUGGUGGCUUAUGGUCAAGUCCGGCUAUCAAUUUCUGUCCAGAAACAUUUCUCCUAAUUCAGUCUGGUUGUAGAAAACAAUCUGGAAGAGUGCUGCACCAGAAAAGGUAGCUUGCUUUACUUGGCUUAAUCUAUGCAAUAUAUGAGUACUUUGUGAAUGCUAAGAAGAGGACUCCAACCGUCUUUUCAUUCAUUUAUUGAGAAUGCAAGUCAAUGAUAAGAAUGUUCUUUCUCAAACAACUUAAACUUUUAGAUGAGAUGGUCACACACUUCAACACUUCAUCAGAACGGCCCAUCCCAAUUAUUGUUUACCGAUGUUGGAUGCCCAUAUUAAUUGCCCACACUUUAGAUGUCUAGACCUAGGCAUGAGGUUCAACAUGGUGGAGUGUUGAAAAGUCCCACAUAGGAUGAAAAAGGGAUGUGUGGUUGCUUUAUAUGAUAUUAGACAAUCCUCCCCUUGAGAGCUAACUUUUUGCUUGAAUUAUGCUCAAGAUUCAUUUGUUUACAUGGUAUUAUAGUAAGGGAGGUCCUAGGAUUAAAUGUCACCACUAUCCAUUAUCAUAAAUACUUUCACAUGCUUAGCCUAUGAAAAAAGAAUUAGGCCUGCACAUGAGGGGGUGAGUUGAAAAUACAGUUAAAUAAUAAGAGUGUGCUCCCUCUAACAACUUAAGCUUUAAGAUGAGAUAAUCACUUACUUCAGUAACUUUUAACCUCUCUUCAACAACUUGAGGUUAAGGUUUGGAAUGCCAUCCUAGGGCCAUUUGGUUGUCCACCCGUAAGGAUAGGAAAACAAGACGUUUAGAGAGAAAACAAGAGUGUGUUAGUAUAAUCAAUACAAAUGUUUUUCUACACUUUCUUUAUGGUACAAUAUGGCAUUAUUUAGUAAUGUUGAAGGUUCUAAUUGAGUUGAAGGUCUUUCGAAAACAACAUCUCUAUAUCCAUGAAGAUAGUGGUAAGGUCUAUGUGCAUUCUACUCUCCCCAGACCUCACUUGUAGGAUAUCAGUGGGUAUGUUAUUGUUGUAGUUGUUAAUGAUGUCAAAGCCAAGAUUGAAUUUUUUUAGCUCUUUACUCAAUUUGUAAUGAUGCUAAUUGUACAUUUUCUCCAACACUCACUUGAUGCUGGUUAUCAAUAAGCUUAUCCUGCCGAUAAAUAAAAGAAAAAGGGGCUAAAAUGACUUUUCCUAUACAUGCGAGUAUUUCCUUAUGUUCUUGAAUCCCUAUUAAGAUAUAUCAACUCAUAUUGAUAGUUAAUUUGUGAUUAUUUAGUAUUUGGAUGAAAUGGAUCUGAAUAGAAUGCGG